rnacentral:rRNA from 1 species
GACGAACGCUGGCGGCGUGCUUAACACAUGCAAGUCGAGCGGUAAGGCCCUUUCGGGGGUACACGAGCGGCGAACGGGUGAGUAACACGUGGGUGACCUGCCCUCAGCUCUGGGAUAAGCCUGGGAAACCGGGUCUAAUACUGGAUAUGACUCCAUGACGCAUGUUGUGGGGUGGAAAGCCUUGUGCGGGCUGAGGAUGGGCCCGCGGCCUAGUCAGCUUGGUUGGUGGGGUGANGGCCUACCAAGGCGACGACGGGUAGCCGGCCUGAGAGGGCGACC